GGGGGUGGCUUGGUGUGAGCUUCGGCUUGUCAACCAGAAGCUCGGGGGUUCAAUUCCCCUCACCUCCA
rnacentral:tRNA from 1 species